UGGGCUUGACAUCAUCCUACUUGAGAUGUAAUGUAAUGCAAAGUCCCAAGUAGGUUGAUGUCUGGCCCA
rnacentral:pre_miRNA from 11 species